AUUGAACGCUGGCGGCAUGCCUUACACAUGCAAGUCGAACGGCAGCAUGCUCUAGCUUGCUGGAUUUAUGGCGAGUGGCGAACGGGUGAGUAAUACAUCGGCACGUGCCCUGUAGUGGGGGAUAACUAGUCGAUAGAUCAGCUACUACCUCAUACCACCUGCUGGUUGAUGUGGGUGGCCGCAAGGCCUCAUGCUAUAGUGGAGUCCGAUGUCUGCUUAGCUAGUUGGUGGGGUAAGGGCUCCCCAAGGCGACGAUCAGUAGCUGGUCUGAGAGGACGAUAAGCCACACGGGGAAGGAGACACGGCCAAGAGGCCUAAGGGAGGCAGCAGUGGGGAAUGGGGGACAAUGGGCGAAAGCCUGAUACAGCAAGGCCGCGUGUGUGAAGAAGGCCUUCGGGGUGUAAAGAACGUUUGUGGGGAAAGAAAUGGCUCUGGUUAAGACCUGGGGUGGAUGACGGUACCGGAAGAAGAAGGACCGGCUAACUACGUG
rnacentral:rRNA from 1 species